rnacentral:rRNA from 1 species
UACGUAGGGUGCAAGCGUUAAUCGGAAUUACUGGGCGUAAAGCGUGCGCAGGCGGGUUUGUAAGUCUGCCGUGAAAUCCCCGGGCUCAACCUGGGAAUUGCGUUGGAGACUGCAAGGCUGGAGUCUGGCAGAGGGGGGUAGAAUUCCACGUGUAGCAGUGAAAUGCGUAGAGAUGUGGAGGAACACCGAUGGCGAAGGCAGCCCCCUGGGUCAAGACUGACGCUCAUGCACGAAAGCGUGGGGAGCAAACAGG